ensembl:lncRNA
UGUGGAUUCUGUGGGUUGCAGGGUGGGUCCUACCUAGACCAGGCUGAUCCUGGACCAUCCCACAGAUGUUCAAUCAGAUCUGGAUGUGGGGAGUGUGGAACCCAGAUGUUCAGAGGGAGAUGAUGCCACAUCUGGUCCAGCAGAUGGAAGGUCUUGAAGUUCUCUGACUGGCCUCGACUGAAGAUGGUCGUCUCACUGGAUUUAAGGUUCAGAUGCUCAGUAACAAACUCCACCAAUGAGCCAACAGGGAAGCUUUAGGUUUAUUAAAUGUUGCUAUGAAGGUAUCACUGUUUUUCUUUGUGAAUGCAAUGUGCUCCAACUGAAACUUGAAUUAGAACUUAGAAGUAAAUCCUUCCAUCUGAAAGGAUUUAGUUGCAUUAAUAACCUCAUAACAUUCUAAUUUUUAUUCCAGUCUUGGUUGGAAAUAGAAUCUCUGUAUUGAUUCAGUUAAAAACUGAACUUCACAGCACGUUGAAGCAAAACAACCAGAUGAAAACUGUGAUGGUGUUGGAUUGUCAGACCGUAAUGUUGCAGCUCAGAGCAGCUUUUCUAUCUCAGUUCAUUCUGACAUUCAGCUAUGAAUCAACACAGCAGAUGGUGAUCCAUGCUGUGGAAGUCUCACAUCUCCUGAUUUAAUGGAGCUGCUUUGCACUUUUUACACUGUUUAUUCACCA